rnacentral:lncRNA from 1 species
AUGAAUGGAUCAUGAUGCAUAAGAACCCUCAUACUGAUAAAUGGGACUUGAUGAACUGAAUUGAAUUGUUGUGGUGAUGAUUGAUUGGUAGUUGAUUCUUGUAUGUUUGGAUGUGUUGUCCCAUGUGUUGUUGUGAUUGAAGUUAGGAUGCUAGAGAGAAAUAAAUGCUAGGAUGAUAGAUGAGUAAUGAUUAUAAAAGUUAUUGAAGUAGAGCUUGAAUGCGAUGUGUAUUGUGUGUGACACCGAUAACGGGUGGCGUCUAGUGAUUGAGUCCCAAGUACAGGUGUGAAUGAAAAAGGAAAGUAAAUGAGAACGGGAAGGGAUAAGUGAAAAUGAUAAGGA